GCGGCCCGAGACCAUGCGGACGUAGCAGAGACAAAAGGGGCCUGCUUCGAACAGCUGCAGCACGACUCCCUUGACAGCGGAGAGCAAGGGUCGACUCCUGCGUGUGUGAAAGGAAGCGUGGACGAGUGUGCCCACUGCGAGGAUCUGCUCUGGUGUGAGGAGGGGGACAGCGUUCUGGGCUCGAGCGCCAUUAGUGAGGAGGAGCGGGUGUGUUCUCGGGGAAACGUCGAGGGGGAUUACGGAGCGCGAGUGCCCGGCGCAGUUGCUUGUGUAGGGGGACCAGGCAGGGAGGGAGAUAGUGGUGACAGCUUACAGAGCCAGUCAGAGGGGGAGAGCAGAGCUGUCCAAGCUCCAUCCUGUGGAAAGGAGGGAGAGGAAACUGAUAGAGCUCAAGACUUGAUCUGCGAGACACAGGGGAGUACUGAGGGGCCUUCCGAGGAGGUCCAGGAAGAGGGGUGCAGCUCUGAAAGACCAAACCAGCCUCUGGAGAAAGAAUUAUCAGAGCACAGAGGAGCAUCAGGAGAUAUGGGAAUCACACAGUCGCUCGACACACCUGAAAGUUCUGAUGGGGAUUCUUGCUCCCACGACACAUACAGCAGCGAUGAGACUAAAGUAGAGAAUGGGAACACUGAUUCUCUUGAACUGGAGGGCAAGAGAGUACAUAAGGAACUGCCCGACUUAACCCCAGCAACGGAUCAACUAUCGAAUAGCUCAUGUGAAAAAGGUGGGAACGAAACAAAUGUGUCGAGGGUCACAUGUUCAAGUCCAUCUUCUACAGCAGAUACGGAACAUUUCUUAAAGGACAGUCAGGAAAUAAACACCAGGCAGAACUGUUGUGACCAGACAAGUGACAGCUAUGAAAUAGGAGCUAAAGAACAAGAAAAGGAUGAAGGACACAAUAGUGAAGUCCAGGAAGACGGUACCCCUGAUAUCUUGUCUCCUAGCACUGAAACAGAAAGCAGAAAAGAACAGUGUGAUAUAACUUGUCACCAUAGAGAUAUAUCUGAUAACACUUUAGAGGACAGAUGCCAAGAGAAAAGCAAUUUUGAGGAGACAAACGAGCCUCAGGCAUUCUUAGGUCCAGAGUGUAAUGGUCACAUACUACAUUAUUCAGGUUUUGAACUGGAUGUUUCAUCUUCAGUGACAUUUAAUGCUGUUUCCGGAAAUAAUUCCCCCUUACUUGAGCAAGAAACAGAAGCGAGCAGUAAGGAACAACUCGACACAGGGGAACAAGACCCGACUGAGCAGGUAGCAUGGUUAGAAGACACAAGGAACAAGGGGAACAAGGAUCUUUUAGAACGCCAUGACUCUUUUGAAGACCAGACAGCAGAAAUCAUGUUGGAAAGUGGUUAUGUCCAUAAUACACAAGAUAUGAACUUUAUCCCUCAUGAAAACAGUGAAAACAUUCCUGACCCAGGAGAUGGAGUUACCCCUCAAAAUUCUGUAGUUGAUCACCCAGGAGACAUGGAGGAACUGAGGGACACUGGAAAUUCUGAAAACAGCCAAACAAUCCGAGAGGAAAAACUCCAACUUUGCUUGGACCACAGUAACUCUGAAGGUGGCGUUUUGCCUACCUUGAAUGCAACUGAUUUGGUAGAAGAUUCACUUUUAUUUGAAGAACAACCAAGUGUGACCGAGCUGAGAGGCGAUGCUAGCUCUAAGCCAGUAGUGAGGAAGACAGAUUCUGCGCGUACAGAGACAUCUGAGACACAAGAAGUACAGGAAAAAGAGUCUGAACUUCAUCAGAACACACAUGUCAAGGCACUUCAAAAAGGUCUCGUCACAGAGACAGAUGUCCCUUUGGAAAAUCAGGUGGACCUUCCAACAGAAACAUG
ensembl:lncRNA